rnacentral:rRNA from 1 species
UCUAGCUUGCUAGAUGCUGACGAGUGGCGCACGGGUGCGUAACGCGUAUACAAUCUACCUUUAACUGAGGGAUAGCCCAGAGAAAUUUGGAUUAAUACCUCAUAGUAUUAUAAUUAGGCAUCUUUUUAUAAUUAAAACUUCGGUGGUUAAAGAUGAGUAUGCGUACUAUUAGCUAGUUGGUAAGGUAAAAGCUUACCAAGGCAACGAUAGUUAGGGGGCCUGAAAGGGUGAUCCCCCACACUGGUACUGAGACACGGACCAGACUCCUACGGGAGGCAGCAGUGAGGAAUAUCGCACAAUGGAGGAAACUCUGAUGCAGCCAUGCCGCGUGCAGGAAGAAUGCCCUAUGGGUUGUAAACUGCUUUUAUACAAGAAGAAACCUCGGUACGUGUACCGACUUGACGGUAUUGUAUGAAUAAGCACCGGCUAACUCCGUGCCAGCAGCCGCGGUAAUACGGAGGGUGCAAGCGUUAUCCGGAUUUAUUAGGUUUAAAGGGUCCGCAGGCGGAAUAUUAAGUCAGUGGUGA